AGUGAACGCUGGCGGCAGGCCUAACACAUGCCAGUCGAGCGGCAGCGCGGGGGCAACCCUGGCGGCGAGCGGCGGACGGGUGAGGAAUUCGUCGGAAUCUGCCUUUUUGUGGGGGAUAACGUAGGGAAACUUACGCUAAUACCGCAUACGUCCUACGGGAGAAAGUGGGGGACCGCAAGGCCUCACGCAGAAAGAUGAGCCGACGACCGAUUAGCUAGUUGGUGGGGUAAAGGCCCACCAAAGCGACGAUCGGUAGCUGGUCUGAGAGGAUGAUCAGCCACACUGGGACUGAGACACGGCCCAGACUCCUACGGGAGGCAGCAGUGGGGAAUAUUGGACAAUGGGCGCAAGCCUGAUCCAGCCAUGCCGCGUGUGUGAAGAAGGCCUUCGGGUUGUAAAGCACUUUUGUCCGGAAAGAAAUCCCUGGAGCUAAUACCUUCGGGGGAUGACGGUACCGGAAGAAUAAGCACCGGCUAACUUCGUG
rnacentral:rRNA from 1 species